AUGCGGACUCUGGAAUCGGAGGCAUGCGUCACCCGCCGCGAGAGGCAGAGGGCAAGGAAGAUGGGGGCCUUCUCUGACGCGGCUGCGGAGUCUGCCCGCCACGGCCACGUGAUGCCGGUGCCCGACAAGGAGGAAUGUAGCCUCCGGUGGGUGUACCGUCGAUCACUAACCAUGGCAGAGACGGACGCCCGGCGGCUUCGGAGGAUAAACGCCACGCAGCUCCGGCUCCGCAUUGAGCAGUCUGAGCGGGAGGCGACGGAGACAGGGGCGGAGGCGGCGAGGGUGGCCAAACUCAUGCGCAAGCAGGACCGCAUCGUCUGGCGCUUGAAGGGCUACAUCAUAGUCUCCGGUUCCUCUUCCUCCGACAGGUCCGACUCCGAUGACUCCGACAUCGACCCACCUCCUGCUGCGGACCGCAUUGUCUGGCGCUUGAAGGGCUGCAUCCCCGACGACCGGAAGGGCAAAGGGCCGGCGAGGAAGUGGUGA
rnacentral:rRNA from 1 species